rnacentral:rRNA from 1 species
GAGAGUUUGAUCCUGGCUCAGAACGAACGCUGGCGGCACGCCUUAAACAUGCAAGUCGAACGAAGUUAAGUAGCUUGCUACUUAACUUAGUGGCGCACGGGUGAGUAACACGUGGGAAUCUACCUCAAAGAUAGGGAUAACUACUGGAAACGGUGGCUAAUACCUUAUGUGCCCUAUUGGGUAAAGCUUUAGCGCUUCGAGAUGAGCCCGCGGUUGAUUAGCUAGUUGGUGGGGUAAUGGCCUACCAAGGCGACGAUCAAUAACUGUUUUGAGAGGAAGAACAGUCACACUGGAACUGAGACACGGUCCAGACUCCUACGGGAGGCAGCAGUUAGGAAUAUUGGACAAUGGGGGAAACCCUGAUCCAGCGAUGCCGCGUGGAUGAUGAAGGUCUUCGGAUCGUAAAAUCCUUUCGCCGAUGAAGAUGAUGACGGUAAUCGGUAAAGAAGCUCCGGCUAACUUCGUGCCAGCAGCCGCGGUAAUACGAAGGGAGCUAGCGUUGCUCGGAAUUACUGGGCGUAAAGAGCGCGUAGGUGGUUUUUUAAGUCAGGUGUGAAAUCCCCGGUCUCAAGCUGGGAACUGCAUUUGAAACUAAUUAACUAGAGUACGGGAGAGGGUAGUUGAAUUUCUAGUGUAGAGGUGGAAUUCGUAGAUAUUAGAAAGAAUACCAGAGGCGAAGGCGUCUACCUGGAACGUUACUGACACUGAUGCGCGAAAGCGUGGGGAGCAAACAGGAUUAGAUACCCUGGUAGUCCACGCUGUAAACGAUGAGUGCUAGAUGUUGGGUCUUUAAGUCCCAGUAUCGUAGCUAACGCAUUAAGCACUCCGCCUGGGGAGUACGGUCGCAAGAUUAAAACUCAAAGGAAUUGACGGGGACCCGCACAAGCAGUGGAGCAUGUGGUUUAAUUCGAAGCAACGCGCAGAACCUUACCAGGCCUUGACAUCCUGAUCGCGAUUUUCAGAGACGAAUUUCUUCAGUUCGGCUGGAUCAGUGACAGGUGCUGCAUGGCUGUCGUCAGCUCGUGUCGUGAGAUGUUGGGUUAAGUCCCGCAACGAGCGCAACCCUCAUUCUUAUUUGCCAGCGAGUUAUGUCGGGAACUAUAAGAAAACUGCCGGUGAUAAGCCGGAGGAAGGCGAGGAUGACGUCAAGUCCUUAUGGCCCUUAUGGCCUGGGCUACACACGUGCUACAAUGGGAACUACAAAGAGCAGCCAACCCGCGAGGGUGAGCAAAUCUCUAAAAGUUCUCUCAGUUCGGAUUGUACUCUGCAACUCGAGUACAUGAAGUUGGAAUUGCUAGUAAUCGUAGAUCAGAACGCUACGGUGAAUACGUUCCCGGGUCUUGUACACACCGCCCGUCACACCAUGGGAGUUUAUUUUACCUGAAAACGGUGUACUAACCUUUUUGGAAGGAACCGUUUACGGUAAGGUCAAUGACUGGGGUGAAGUCGUAACAAGGUAGCCGUAG